AAUUACGCAUUGAAGAGAAGAGUAGUUGAUCGCGAAACGUUUAAAAGAGACCCUCAGCUGGUGAAAAGAGGGAUCGUGGAAAAUCAGUGAAGAUGAGCUCUGAGCAUUCAGUUUGUUCACGCAAGCUGUACGGGAAGCGACCGUUAUAUCGCCGGGUAUGUCUGUACCGUUGAGGUAUUAUCUGCGAGGAUAAUACGAAUAAGGGUGGUAACGCGAAAAUAUUCGUCCCUUUA
rnacentral:ncRNA from 1 species